GCGAGUAGUGGAGUUUCCUAUAUUUGAUUUGAAAUCUUGUGUUUUUGUUUUAGUUAACAGUGCUUGCU
rnacentral:tRNA from 1 species